rnacentral:rRNA from 1 species
GAUGAACGCUGGCGGCGUGCCUAAUACAUGCAAGUCGAGCGAACGGACGAGAAGCUUGCUUCUCUGAUGUUAGCGGCGGACGGGUGAGUAACACGUGGAUAACCUACCUAUAAGACUGGGAUAACUUCGGGAAACCGUAGCUAAUACCGGAUAAUAUUUUGAACCGCAUGGUUCAAAAGUGAAAGACGGUCUUGCUGUCACUUAUAGCUGGAUCCGCGCUGCAUUAGCUAGUUGGUAAGGUAACGGCUUAUCAAGGCAACGAUGCAUAGCCGACCUGAGAGAGGGAUCGGCCACACUGGAGCUGGGACACGGUCCUGACUCCUACGGGAGGCAGCAGUAGGGAAUCUUCCGCAAUGGGCGAAAGCCUGACGGAGCAACGCCGCGUGAGUGAUAAAGGUCUUCGGAUCGUAAAACUCUGUUAUUAGGUAAGAACAUAUGUGUAAUUAACUGUGCACAUCUUGACGGUACCUAAUCAGAAAGCCACGGCUAACUACGUG